AAACCAUGGUAAGGGCAUCUUCGUUAUAACUCCUGAUAGCACUCCCAAAUCUCAUACAAUGUCUCGCCUUGCUGUUGACAAAAACUAGUUAUAUCCAUGUGAAGUUU